CGUGUAGGCGGAAGGGAUAGUACCUUGUGAAAUCCCCGGGCUCAACCCGGGAAUGGCUGGGUAUACUGCCCUUCUUGAGGCAGGUAGGGGUCACUGGAACCUUAGGUGGAGCGGUGAAAUGCGUAGAUAUCUAAGGGAACGCCUGUGGCGAAAGCGGGUGACUGGGCCUGUCCUGACGCUGAGACGCGAAAGCGUAGGGAGCAAACGGGAUUAGAUACCCCGGUAGUCUACGCCGUAAACGAUGCGCACUAGGUUCGAGGGUCCCUGACGACUCUCGAGCCGAAAUAAAAACGAUAAGUGCGCCGCCUGGGGAGUACGGCCGCAAGGCUAAA
rnacentral:rRNA from 1 species